AGUGAACGCUGGCGGCAGGCCUAAUACAUGCAAGUCGAACGGCAGCACAGCAGAGCUUGCUCUGUGGGUGGCGAGUGGCGGACGGGUGAGGAGUACAUGGGAAUCUGCCCAGUCGUGGGGGAUAACGUAUGGAAACGUACGCUAAUACCGCAUGCGCCCUAAGGGGGAAAGCCGGGGACCGGCAAGGCCUGGCGCGAUUGGAUGAGCCCAUGUUCGAUUAGCUAGUUGGCGGGGUAAAGGCCCACCAAGGCGACGAUCGAUAGCUGGUCUGAGAGGAUGAUCAGCCACACUGGAACUGAGACACGGUCCAGACUCCUACGGGAGGCAGCAGUAGGGAAUAUCGGACAAUGGGGGCGAACCCUGAUCCAGCCAUGCCGCGUGAGUGAAGAAGGCCCUCGGGUUGUAAAGCUCUUUUGUCCGGAAAGAAAAGCAUCUGGUUAAUACCCGGGUGUUCUGACGGUACCGGAAGAAUAAGCACCGGCUAACUUCGUGCC
rnacentral:rRNA from 1 species